rnacentral:rRNA from 1 species
AGGGCACCACCAGGAGUGGGGCCUGCGGCUUAAUUUGACUCAACACGGGAAAUCUCACCAGGCCCGGACACUGGAAGGAUUGACAGAUUGAGAGCUCUUUCUCGAUUCGGUGGGUGGUGGUGCGUGGCCGUUCUUAGUUGGUGGAGUGAUUUGUCUGGUUAAUUCCGAUAACGAACGAGACUCUGUCCUGCUAAAUAGUUCCCGCGUCCUUUGUUGCGCGGGAAAUUCUUCUUAGAGGGACUGGCGGCGUCUAGCCGCACGAGAUUGAGCAAUAACAGGUCUGUGAUGCCCUUAGAUGUUCUGGGCCCCACGCGCGCUACACUGAAGGGAUCAGCGUGUCUUCCCUUCCCGAGAGGGACGGGUAACCCGCUGAACCCCCUUCGUGGUAGGGAUCGGGGCUUGCAAUUAUUCCCCGUGAACCAGGAAUUCCCAGUAAGCGCAAGUCAUAAGCUUGCGUUGAUUACGUCCCUGCCCUUUGUACACACCGCCCGUCGCUACUACCGAUUGAGUGAUUUAGUG